rnacentral:rRNA from 1 species
CCUGUGGCGGAAGCUACCAUGACAGUCGAGCGGUAGCACGGGGGUAAGCUCUGCUCCCUGGGUGACGAGCGGCGGACGGGUGAGUAAGGCUUAGGAACCUGCCUUUGCGAGGGGGACAACAGUUGGAAACGACUGCUAAUACCGCAUAAUGUCUGUGGACCAAAGAGGGCUUCGGCUCUCGCGCAAAGAGGGGCCUAAGUGAGAUUAGCUAGUUGGUAGGGUAAAGGCCUACCAAGGCGACGAUCUCUAGCUGUUCUGAGAGGAAGAUCAGCCACACUGGGACUGAGACACGGCCCAGACUCCUACGGGAGGCAGCAGUGGGGAAUAUUGGACAAUGGGGGCAACCCCUGAUCCAGCCAUGCCGCGUGUGUGAAGAAGGCCUUCGGGUUGUAAAGCACUUUCAGUGGUGAGGAAGGGGGAGUUGGUUAAUACCCAGCUUCAUUGACGUUAGCCCACAGAAGAAGCACCCGGCUAACUCCCGUGCCAGCAGCCGCGGUGAAUACGGAGGGUGCGAGCGUUAAUCGGAAUUACUGGGCGUAAAGCGCACGCAGGCGGUCUGUUAAGUUAGAUGUGAAAGCCCCGGGCUUAACCUGGGAGUUGCAUUUAAAACUGGGCAGACUAGAGUCUUGGAGAGGGGGGGGUGGAAAUUCCAAGGUGUAGCCGGUGAAAUGCGUAGAGAUCUGGUAGGAAGCAUCAGAUGGACGAAGGCUGGCCCCCCUGGCCCAAGACUGACGCUCAUGUGCGAAAGCGUGGGUAGCGUACAGGAUGAGGAUACCCUGGGUAGUCCGCAGCGUAAACGCAUGUCUACUAGCUGUCUGUGGAUUCAAUUGCGAUGGCUAGCGCAGCAACGCGAUCAGUAGAUCGGCAUGUUGAAGUACGGACCUCAGGUGAAGCUCAGAGUGCAUGACUUGGACCUGCACAACAGUGGGACAUGUGAUUAGUUCAGUCUAUCCCGUAAAAAG